AAAAAAAAAAAAAAACACUAGCCCAUAAAUUUAUAAAAAAAAAAAUUAAAAAUAUUUUUUUAUUUUUUCUUUUUUUCUAAACAAAAAAAGUCAAUAGAUCGCAGGGAUCAGAGAGGCGCACAGGAACAAGAAGGGCACCUUAUCAGACCGUUCUCGUUGCAAGCGGUGCAGCUCUUAAACCCAGAUUUCUCUGUGUACACUUUGUGACUACCGUUACAGUCGUCGCACAAAAUGAAUCGGUAACCCCCACACGCGUCGCAGACGCCAGAUUCCGCUGCGGGCAAACCUUCCACAAACUUCUUGAGCUCACCUCCUUCGUGUAACUGUCUAAUCUCCUCAGCUCCGCCUACAUAUCUCCCACCGAUAAAUACCCUAGGCAAAGUCAACGUAGUAUGACCGCCCCCAAAGAUCUGCUGUAGCUCCUUCAUGAAUCUUGAGUCCAUUGAGAGAUCUCGUUCGUCGAUCGAGACACGAAACCCUUGAAGAAUGGAUUGGACGGAACGGCAAUCUUCAAAUGUCGACCGAACAACGUGAAGGCUUGUGAAGUAAACGACAAUCCGUUUAUCAGCACCCGGUAUUGAGAUCGACGGUGGGGACUCUUGGCAUUCUGGUUGCGGCGGUUGGGGUGGUGGUGUUUCAGUAACAGAUGAGGCAACGACUUCGGGUUCAGAGUCGAGUUGGGUCUGUGCGCUGGAUUGGGAGUGGGUGAGACGACGAGUCGCAGACCAGGAGCGGAUGAUUGAGGUGGCGACGCGCACGCGGUGGAAUAUGGAGGAUUUUUUGGUGGGUGCAGAGGGAUCGUCGGCGCAGAGGCGCUGGAUAUCUUUGAAAGUGGAAAAGGAGAAAGGGGAUGAACUGGAUGAAGAAGAAGAUGAAGUAUCGCGAAUCUUGACCGUUGAAUGACUCCACUGCCGCCACAUUGAUGGUGGGAGAUGGGAAUCUUUGAGAGAACUUGUAACAAGAAAUUGAAGAUGAAAAUGGUGAGGUUGAAGAAGAAAGAGAAAGAAGACUACAGUGAUUUUGUUUCAGUAUUUUUGGAUUUGGGUUUAUGGGUUUUUGAGGUUUUGAUCGCUUAAAGCAAGGCUAUUGGUGAUAUGAGGGAUUGAGAAAAGAGCUGCGAAAGAGGGUAUGCUUUUGCAGGUUAAAGAGAACAAAAAGGAAGAAGAAUUGGUUAAAGGUAGUUGAGGAGGUAAUUUGAUUCUAAAUGGGCCUUUGAAGAGAUUUUGUGAAUGGGGGUUGAGGAUGAGAGGUCCCUUGCUAAGAGAUUUGGUAAGUUUGCCUAAUUAUGGAUGAAAAGUCCUCAUUAGUGAACCCAAUUUGUCUUGUCUUAUCGUUCUUGUAAAUGCAAAAAAUGAACAUUUUUU
rnacentral:misc_RNA from 1 species